AUUGAACGCUGGCGGAAUGCUUUACACAUGCAAGUCGAACGGUAGAGGGGGCAACCCCUUGAGAGUGGCGAACGGGUGAGUAACAUAUCGGAACGUGCCCAGUCGUGGGGAUAACGUAGCGAAAGUUACGCUAAUACCGCAUACGAUCUAAGGAUGAAAGCGGGGGAUCGCAAGACCUCGCGCGAUUGGAGCGGCCGAUAUCAGAUUAGGUAGUUGGUGAGGUAAAGGCUCACCAAGCCAACGAUCUGUAGCUGGUCUGAGAGGACGACCAGCCACACUGGAACUGAGACACGGUCCAGACUCCUACGGGAGGCAGCAGUGGGAAUUUUGGACAAUGGACGCAAGUCUGAUCCAGCCAUUCCGCGUGCAGGAUGAAGGCCCUCGGGUUGUAAACUGCUUUUGUACGGAACGAAAAGGUUUGUACUUAAUACGAUGAGCUCAUGACGGUACCGUAAGAAUAAGCACCGGCUAACUACGUGCCAGC
rnacentral:rRNA from 1 species